rnacentral:rRNA from 1 species
UACGUAGGGUGCAAGCGUUAAUCGGAAUUACUGGGCGUAAAGCGUGCGCAGGCGGUUUUGUAAGUCUGUCGUGAAAUCCCCGGGCUCAACCUGGGAAUUGCGAUGGAGACUGCAAGGCUAGAAUCUGGCAGAGGGGGGUAGAAUUCCACGUGUAGCAGUGAAAUGCGUAGAGAUGUGGAGGAACACCGACGGCGAAGGCAGCCCCCUGGGUCAAGACUGACGCUCAUGCACGGAAGCGUGGGGAG